GGGAGGGUGGUCUAGCUUGGUAUGAUACAUUAAACGCUAACUAAGCGUAUAAAUUGACUUGGCUGGGGGCCAAGUGGUCGGGGGUUCGAAUCCCUCCCCUCCCA
rnacentral:tRNA from 1 species